rnacentral:rRNA from 1 species
GAUGAACGCUGGCGGCGUGCCUAAUACAUGCAAGUCGAGCGAACAGACGAGUAGCUUGCUUCUCUGAGGUUAGCGGCGGACGGGUGAGUAACACGUGGAUAACCUACCUAUAAGACUGGGAUAACUUCGGGAAACCGGAGCUAAUACCGGAUAAUAUUUUGAACCGCAUGGUUCAAGAGUGAAAGACGGUCUUGCUGUCACUUAUAGAUGGAUCCGCGCCGGAUUAGCUAGUUGGUAAGGUAACGGCUUACCAAGGCAACGAUGCGUAGCCGACCUGAGAGGGUGAUCGGCGACACUGGAACUGAGACACGGUCCAGACUCCUACGGGAGGCAGCAGUAGGGAAUCUUCCGCAAUGGGCGAAAGCCUGACGGAGCAACGCCGCGUGAGUGAUGAAGGUCUUCGGAUCGUAAAACUCUGUUAUUAGGGAAGAACAAAUGUGUAAGUAACUGUGCACGGCUUGACGGUACCUAAUCAGAAAGCCACGGCUAACUACGUG